GUAGUCUCGCACAGAUGCAUAUCAAUAAGCGGAGGAAAAGAAACUAACUAGGAUUCCCUCAGUAACGGCGAGUGAAGCGGGAAGAGCUCAAAUUUGAAAUCUUCAAGGUUCUACCUUGACGAAUUGUAGUUUAAAGAAGUGUUUUCUGUUGGAGUUUUGGUAAAAGUUCUUUGGAAUAGGACAUCAUAGAGGGUGAGAAUCCCGUAUUUGACCAUUAUUUCCAGCUUUGUGAUACACUUUCAAAGAGUCGGAUUGUUUGGGAAUGCAGUCCAAAAUGGGUGGUAAAUUUCAUCUAAUGCUAAAUACUGGCGAGAGACCGAUAGCGAACAAGUACCGUGAGGGAAAGAUGAAAAGAACUUUGAAAAGAGAGUUAAACAGUACGUGAAAUUGUCAAAAGGGAAGCGUUUGACACCAGUGUUGUUUUCUCGAAAAUCAAUUAAAAAAGGCAGGAUUUUGUGUUGUAUUGACUUUAUCAGCUUUCUGCACUCUUUUCUUGUCUUUUUUUAAUGCACUUUUCGUUUAACAAGUCAACAUCAAUUUCUUUUGUUGUAAAAGGGUCAUUGGAAGGUGGCUUUCUUUUCGGAGAAAGUGUUUAUAGCCUUUGGCCUCUGCAAUCGGAGAGAUUGAGGUCUGCAGGCGUAGAUCCUUCGGGGUUAGAUACAUUUGUGCUAAGUUAUAGCCUUUCAUAGACAACUUGUUGACUAUGAUCAGUCAUGUAGCUUACUCGCUUAUGCUAUUUUACCUACGCUUAGGAUGUUGAAGUCAUCGUAUCGCGC
rnacentral:rRNA from 1 species